AAAUUUAUUCGUAAUUAAGGGAUCUAUUUCUGUUUGCCAGGGGUAAAGUAAAUCCGAGAUAUUAACGGAUUUUGAUCAGUUAAAUUGAGGAUAACUCUUCAGAUAUUAGUUAGAGAUAUAUCUCCAGGCCUUUUAACGGAAUUCUUACUAUUACAGUAAAGAUAUUUCGGUUUGCAGGUAACCACAGCAUUUCAAAACUGCUUUUCUGGAGACUCUCCAAUAACCAGGACCAGCAGAAGUGAUCACUUGGAGAGAAUAGUAUCCACGGUCUGCCUCAAAUCGACUUUUGUCCCUCAGUGGCUGGAGGAACAUCGGAAAGCCCCUCUGCCCCUGACAACAGUGAUUAGUUUGGCUGCUUUGGGGCGAAUGGCGUGCGUUAUAGGGGAAGUUCAGCGCCCUCUACCGACGUGGGAAUUAGCUUUUUCGAAAUGUUUUCCUCCUGAAGAUGACGUAACAGAAUCCGAGUCUCGGUAAGUGAGUAAAACGUUUGAAAUAAGUUUAAGCAACAAUGCUAUAAAAACUGGCGCUGCCGGAUAUCCCUCUCUUGCUGUACAGAGAUAAGUAGUGUGAUAUUUAACAUAAUUUGAUCAAUUUGUAACUUAGAUGAUAAAUUAACGAG